AAAAAGGGAAGCUAGGUGCGUUUCCCUCCUACACACGGGGGAGAAGCCGCAAGCCAGGCUGGCGCGGGGCACUUCUGGCUCCGGGAGAGCCGCCGCCCUUCUGUCCCCGCUGCGGGCGCUGCCGUCGGCUCUGCCCCGCCGUGUGCGGCUGCCAAGGGGCGCGGCGCCCGCCGUGACCUUCAGGGAGCGCAUCUCCGCCGUCGAACGAUGCCGUCGCUCAGAGAAGCGCUCCCCGCGCUCGCGGGCGCCAUGUUCGUGCCGUGAGCGGCCGGGCUGGGCGGGGGAAGGGCGGCCUGGCAGUUGGACACAGCGGUUAGCUCCGGCUGGACGUGCUCCGACGGCCCCACAAAGGCAGAAGUGGAGUGGGAUUUGGGAUGGCUCCCUCCGGCGUAUGCGCUUUGUAAUGCCGAUGCCUGCUCCCCCGAGACCCCACGAAGCAUUCCCUCCCGACCCGGAGGAGAACAGGAUGGGCAUAAGCGGCCGAAGCCACAGCACUCUCCGGGUGGGGACAUGAAGUCAGCCAGAGCCGCUCCUCCGCGGGCCUGCAGGGCCAGUGUCGUCCCGAAGGUCCCCGCUCCCCUGCGGAUUUCGGAACAAAGGCAGGCCGGCCCAGCUCCACCCCGAACAUCUCUGUAAUAUUGGGUUUUCCUCCUUUUUCCCCCCUCUUUGCCCUGUUUUCCAGCCUGCAGUUACUGAAGGUCAGAUGGAGAGGUCAUGGCUCUGCAUCCCCCAUAAAUAGAUUUUGAUAUUUAGACAGCUAUUGCUACUCAAUAUUAACUUACAGGAUAAUGGCGAGAGAUACCGUAUGCACUGAACCUGUUAUUCACGAGUGAGCAGCAUCUGUCGAAUACAAUUCUCGUCUUUUUGCCCUGUUUGGCCAUAGCGCAAUCAAUAGGGUGAAGGACAUCUCAGAGCUGGGGUGGGGACAGUGAGCGGGGCGUCGGCAGCGAGCGCAGCAGUGACACCACAAAAGGGCUUUGGAGAGCUGAGGUCAAGAGCCAGGUGGUCACAGAGUGGCUCCGAGAGGGGAGAGGAACCGAUGCGAAAGCGUCUGGCAGGGAGCUGCCAGCACCACAUUGCUGCCUUGAUUCUGGGGCUGGAAA
rnacentral:lncRNA from 1 species